GGGAAGUUGGCUCAGUGGUAGAGUGCUUGCCUCGCAUGCAUGAGGGCCUGGGUUCGAUUCCUCAGUACCA
rfam:Dipodomys ordii contig_32964, whole genome shotgun sequence.